CAGUCGCCGCGGGAAUACGUAGGUGGCAAGCGUUGUCCGGAAUUAUUGGGCGUAAAGGGCUCGCAGGCGGUUUCUUAAGUCUGAUGUGAAAGCCCCCGGCUCAACCGGGGAGGGUCAUUGGAAACUGGGAAACUUGAGUGCAGAAGAGGAGAGUGGAACUCCACGUGUAGCGGUGAAAUGCGUAGAGAUGUGGAGGAACACCAGUGGCGAAGGCGACUCUCUGGUCUGUAACUGACGCUGAGGAGCGAAAGCGUGGAGAGCGAACAGGAUUAGAUACCCGCGUAGUCCCUGUCUCUUAUAC
rnacentral:rRNA from 1 species